rnacentral:rRNA from 2 species
CUAAUGACUCUCGGCAACGGAUAUCUCGGCUCUCGCAUCGAUGAAGAACGUAGCGAAAUGCGAUACUUGGUGUGAAUUGCAGAAUCCCGUGAACCAUCGAGUUUUUGAACGCAAGUUGCGCCCAAAGCCAUUUGGUUGAGGGCACGUCUGCCUGGGCGUCACGU